GACAGAGGAUGCAAGCGUUAUCCGGAAUGAUUGGGCGUAAAGGCGUCUGUAGGUGGCUUUUAAGUCCGCCGUCAAAUCCCAGGGCUCAACCCUGGACAGGCGGUGGAAACUACCAAGCUGGAGUACGGUAGGGGCAGAGGGAAUUCCGGUGGAGCGGUGAAAUGCGUAGAGAUCGGGAAAGAACACCAACGGCGAAGCACUCUGCUGGGCCGACACUGACAUGAGAGACGAAAGCUAGGGGCGAAUGGG
rnacentral:rRNA from 1 species